rnacentral:rRNA from 1 species
AGGAUCAUUGUCGAAAGCUGCAAGGCAGAAUGACUUGUGAACAAGUGAAAAAUUGCGGUUGAAAAAAUGGGCCUUUGCCUCUCUCAACUUGGUCAUUGGAGGCGGUUUGGCCUUGUGCCCCCCCGCAACUCUCAUGGUCCGAAUCCAACACCCCUCAGCGCGGAAUGCGCCAAGGAAAACAAACAGAAUGUGUACGAUGCCCCUUGCACCGUAAAGGGUUGCAUGUGGCUUGCGUAUUUCGCUUACUAAAACGUUACAACGACUCUCGGCAACGGAUAUCUUGGCUCUCGCAUCGAUGAAGAACGUAGCAAAAUGCGAUAGCUGGUGUGAAUUGCAGAAUCCCGUGAACCAUCGAGUCUUUGAACGCAAGUUGCGCCUGAAGCCGUCAGGCCAAGGGCACGCCUGCCUGGGUGUCACCCUCCCCCUUGCCCAAGUACCUCCUCCCACGGAAAAAUGGGAAGUGUUAUUCGGGCGGAUAAAUGGCCUCCCAUGGGGAUAUUUUUCGUGGCUGGCCCAAAAUUAGCACUUGGCUCUUAGGAAGCCCUCGACAAGCAUUGGCGAAAAACUCUGGUGAUUCCUUGAUUGUUGUUGUCGUGUUGGACUUUGUAGUGUGCUAGAAAAAAAACCUCGGUGCUUGCAUCCUUAGAUUUGCGACCCCAU